GACGAACGCUGGCGGCGUGCUUAACACAUGCAAGUCGAACGGAAAGGCCCUGCUUGUGUGGGGUGCUCGAGUGGCGAACGGGUGAGUAACACGUGAGUAACCUGCCCUUGACUUUGGGAUAACUUCAGGAAACUGGGGCUAAUACCGGAUAGGAGCUCCUGCUGCAGGGGGGGGGUUGGAAAGUUUCGGCGGAUGGGGAUGGAGUCGCGGCUUAUCAGCUUGUGGGUGGGGUAGUGGCUUACCAAGGCUUUGACGGGUAGCCGGCCUGAGAGGGUGACCGGCCACAUUGGGACUGAGAUACGGCCCAGACUCCUACGGGAGGCAGCAGUGGGGAAUAUUGCACAAUGGGCGGAAGCCUGAUGCAGCAACGCCGCGUGCGGGAUGACGGCCUUCGGGUUGUAAACCGCUUUAGCCUGUGACGAAGCGUGAGUGACGGUAAUGGGUAAAGAAGCACCGGCUAACUACGUG
rnacentral:rRNA from 1 species